UAGGGAAUCUUCCGCAAUGGACGCAAGUCUGACGGAGCAACGCCGCGUGAGUGAAGAAGGAUUUCGGUUCGUAAAACUCUGUUGUUAGAGAAGAACAGCGCAUAGAGUAACUGUUAUGCGUGUGACGGUAUCUAACCAGAAAGCCACGGCUAACUACGUGCCAGCAGCCGCGGUAAUACGUAGGUGGCAAGCGUUGUCCGGAUUUAUUGGGCGUAAAGCGAGCGCAGGCGGUCAAUUAAGUCUGAUGUGAAAGCCCCCGGCUCAACCGGGGAGGGUCAUUGGAAACUGGUUGACUUGAGUGCAGAAGAGGAGAGUGGAAUUCCAUGUGUAGCGGUGAAAUGCGUAGAUAUAUGGAGGAACACCAGUGGCGAAGGCGACUCUCUGGUCUGUAACUGACGCUGAGGUUCGAAAGCGUGGGUAGCAAAACAGG
rnacentral:rRNA from 1 species